rnacentral:rRNA from 1 species
UAUUCUAAGGCGCUUGAGAGAACUCAGGAGAAGGAACUCGGCAAAUUGACACCGUAACUUCGGAAGAAGGUGUGCCUUUAGUAGGUGAACCUGUACAAGGGGAGCCCAAUGAGGUUGCAAAAAUCGGUGGCUGCGACUGUUUAAUAAAAACACAGCACUCUGCAAACACGAAAGUGGACGUAUAGGGUGUGACGCCUGCCCGGUGCUGGAAGAUUAAAUGAUGGGGUGCAAGCUCUUGAUUGAAGUCCCAGUAAACGGCGGCCGUAACAAUAACGGUCCUAAGGUAGCGAAAUUCCUUGUCGGGUAAGUUCCGACCUGCGCGAAUGGCGUAACGAUGGCCACACUGUCUCCUCCUGAGACUCAGCGAAGUUGAAAUGUUUGUGAUGAUGCAAUCUCCCCGCGGAAAGACGGAAAGACCCCAUGAACCUUUACUGUAGCUUUGUAUUGGACUUUGAACAGAUCUGUGUAGGAUAGGUGGGAGGCUUUGAAGUGUGGUCGCUAGAUCGCAUGGAGCCAACGUUGAAAUACCACCCUGGUGUGUUUGAGGUUCUAACCUAGGCCCGUAAUCCGGGUCGGGGACAGUGCAUGGUAGGCAGUUUGACUGGGGCGGUCUCCUCCCAAAGCGUAACGGAGGAGUUCGAAGGUACGCUAGGUACGGUCGGACAUCGUGCUAAUAGUGCAAUGGCAUAAGCGUGCUUAACUGCGAGACUGACAAGUCGAGCAGAUGCGAAAGCAGGACAUAGUGAUCCGGUGGUUCUGUAUGGAAGGGCCAUCGCUCAACGGAUAAAAGGUACUCUGGGGAUAACAGGCUGAUACCGCCCAAGAGUUCAUAUCGACGGCGGUGUUUGGCACCUCGAUGUCGGCUCAUCUCAUCCUGGGGCUGUAGCCGGUCCCAAGGGUAUGGCUGUUCGCCAUUUAAAGAGGUACGUGAGCUGGGUUUAAAACGUCGUGAGACAGUUUGGUCCCUAUCUUCCGUGGGCGCUGCAGAUUUGAGGAAGCCUGCUCCUAGUACGAGAGGACCGGAGUGGACACACCUCUGGUGUAUCGGUUGUCACGCCAGUGGCAUUGCCGAGUAGCUAUGUGUGGAAGAGAUAACCGCUGAAAGCAUCUAAGCGGGAAACUCGUUUCAAGAUGAGAUCUGCCGGGGCCUUGAGCCCCCUAAAGAGUCGUUCAAGACCAGGACGUUGAUAGGUCGGGUGUGGAAGCGCAGUAAUGCGUUAAGCUAACCGAUACUAAUUGCUCGUGCGGCUUGAGC